GACGAACGCUGGCGGCGUGCUUAACACAUGCAAGUCGAACGGAAAGGCCCUGCUUUUGUGGGGUGCUCGAGUGGCGAACGGGUGAGUAACACGUGUGUAACCUGCCCUUGACUUUGGGAUAACUUCAGGAAACUGGGGCUAAUACCGGAUAGGAGCUCCUGCUGCAUGGUGGGGGUUGGAAAGUUUCGGCGGUUGGGGAUGGACUCGCGGCUUAUCAGCUUGUUGGUGGGGUAGUGGCUUACCAAGGCUUUGACGGGUAGCCGGCCUGAGAGGGUGACCGGCCACAUUGGGACUGAGAUACGGCCCAGACUCCUACGGGAGGCAGCAGUGGGGAAUAUUGCACAAUGGGCGGAAGCCUGAUGCAGCAACGCCACGUGCGGGAUGACGGCCUUCGGGUUGUAAACCGCUUUCGCCUGUGACGAAGCGUGAGUGACGGUAAUGGGUAAAGAAGCACCGGCUAACUACGUG
rnacentral:rRNA from 1 species